GACGAACGCUGGCGGCGUGCUUAACACAUGCACGUCGAACGAAGUGGCGAACGGGUGAGUAAUACGUGGGUAACCUGCCCUCCUUUUUGGGAUAAGCCUUGGAAACGGGGUCUAAUACCGAAUAACGGGGGAUGGGCUCGCGGCCUAUCAGCUUGUUGGUGUGGUGAUGGCCUACCACGGCGGUGACGGGUGGCCGGCCUGAGAGGGUGACCGACCCCAUUGGGCCUGAUACACGGUCCAUACUCCUACGUGGGGCAGCAGGUGGGAAUAUUGGACAAUGUGCGAAAGCCUGAUCCAGCCAUGCCGCGUGUGUGAAGAAGGUCUUCGGAUUGUAAAGCACUUUAAGUUGGGAGGCGUUACCAACAGAAUAAGCACCGGCUAACUUCGUGCCAGCCGCCGCGGUAAUAC
rnacentral:rRNA from 1 species